AGCGCGUGCACCGCGGAGCGCCGGACGUCGUGCGUCUUUUUUAUUUUUUUUACUUUCCACGGAACUAUUUCACACGGAUUUUCACACGGAGCGAUGCCGUAAAACAACUUUACCGCUGGACCUCUCAAACUGAACAAGAUUGAUGAGGAGGAAAAGGCAAUGAAUCCACAUUAG
ensembl:lncRNA